UACGUAGGGAGCAAGCGUUUGUCCGGAAUCAUUGGGCGUAAAGCGCGCGUAGGCGGCCUCAUAAGUCCGUUGUGAAAGUCAAAGGCUCAACCUUUGAAGGCCGAUGGAUACUGUGAGGCUAGAGUUCGGAAGAGGCGAGUGGAAUUCCUGGUGUAGCGGUGGAAUGCGCAGAUAUCAGGAGGAACACCGAUGGCGAAGGCAGCUCGCUGGGACGGUACUGACGCUGAGGCGCGAAAGCGUGGGGAGCGAACAGG
rnacentral:rRNA from 1 species